rnacentral:rRNA from 1 species
GACGUAGGGUGCGAGCGUUGUCCGGAUUUAUUGGGCGUAAAGAGCUCGUAGGCGGCUCGUCGCGUCGACCGUGAAAACCCGCGGCUUAACUGCGGGCUUGCGGUUGAUACGGGCGGGCUAGAGUUCGGUAGGGGAGACUGGAAUUCCUGGUGUAGCGGUGAAAUGCGCAGAUAUCAGGAGGAACACCGGUGGCGAAGGCGGGUCACUGGUCCAACACUGACACUGAAGCCCGAAAGCGUGGGGAUCAAACAGG